GCCAGUGUUACUCAGUGGUUAGAGUGUUGGUCCACACACCUAAGAGUCAUGGGUUCAAAUCCCAGUCAAGAGCA
rfam:Myotis brandtii contig278150, whole genome shotgun sequence.